GUUUCGGCUAGGGGGCCAUCCCGGCUUACCAACCCGAUGCAACCUGCGAAUACCGGAGAAUGUUAUCACGGGAGACACACGGCGGGUGCUAACGUCCGUCCUGAAGCGGGAAACAACCCAGACCGCCCGCCAAGGUCCCAAAGCCAUGGUUAAGGGGGAAAAGAUGUGGGAAGGCCCAGACAGGCCGGACGUUGGCUUAGGAGCAGCCAUCAUUUAAAGAAAGCGUAAUAGCUCACUGGUCGAGUCGGCCUGCGCGGAAGAUGUAACGGGGCUAAACCAUGCACCGAAGCUGCGGCAGCGAACGUAUCACCCAAGACAACUUUACGGAGUUGACGAUUGACGGAGCGAAGCGACGUCAAAGCGUUCAUUAAAGUCGAGUUGGCUUAGGGAUACGUUCGUUGGGUAGGGGAGCGUUCUGUAAGCCUGUGAAGGUGUGUCGUGAGGCAUGCUGGAGGUAUCAGAAGUGCGAAUGCUGACAUAAGUAACGAUAAAGCGGGUGAAAAGCCCGCUCGCCGGAAGACCAAGGGUUCCUGUCCAACGUUAAUCGGGGCAGGGUGAGUCGACCCCUAAGGCGAGGCCGAAAGGCGUAGUCGAUGGGAAACGGGUUAAUAUUCCCGUACUUGGUGUUACUGCGAAGGGGGGACGGAGAAGGCUAUGUUGGCCGGGCGACGGUUGUCCCGGUUUAAGCGUGUAGGUGUGUGUUCCAGGUAAAUCCGGUUCACUUUAACACUGAGGCGUGACGACGAGGCACUACGGUGCUGAAGCAACAAAUGCCCUGCUUCCAGGAAAAGCCUCUAAGCAUCAGGUAACAUCAAAUCGUACCCCAAACCGACACAGGUGGUCAGGUAGAGAAUACCAAGGCGCUUGAGAGAACUCGGGUGAAGGAACUAGGCAAAAUGGUGCCGUAACUUCGGGAGAAGGCACGCUGACACGUAGGUGAAGUGAUUUACUCAUGGAGCUGAAGUCAGUCGAAGAUACCAGCUGGCUGCAACUGUUUAUUAAAAACACAGCACUGUGCAAACACGAAAGUGGACGUAUACGGUGUGACGCCUGCCCGGUGCCGGAAGGUUAAUUGAUGGGGUCAGCGUAAGCGAAGCUCCUGAUCGAAGCCCCGGUAAACGGCGGCCGUAACUAUAACGGUCCUAAGGUAGCGAAAUUCCUUGUCGGGUAAGUUCCGACCUGCACGAAUGGCGUAAUGAUGGCCAGGCUGUCUCCACCCGAGACUCAGUGAAAUUGAACUCGCUGUGAAGAUGCAGUGUACCCGCGGCAAGACGGAAAGACCCCGUGAACCUUUACUAUAGCUUGACACUGAACAUUGAGCCUUGAUGUGUAGGAUAGGUGGGAGGCUUUGAAGUGUGGACGCCAGUCUGCAUGGAGCCGACCUUGAAAUACCACCCUUUAAUGUUUGAUGUUCUAACGUGGACCCGUAAUCCGGGUUGCGGACAGUGUCUGGUGGGUAGUUUGACUGGGGCGGUCUCCUCCUAAAGAGUAACGGAGGAGCACGAAGGUUGGCUAAUCCUGGUCGGACAUCAGGAGGUUAGUGCAAUGGCAUAAGCCAGCUUGACUGCGAGCGUGACGGCGCGAGCAGGUGCGAAAGCAGGUCAUAGUGAUCCGGUGGUUCUGAAUGGAAGGGCCAUCGCUCAACGGAUAAAAGGUACUCCGGGGAUAACAGGCUGAUACCGCCCAAGAGUUCAUAUCGACGGCGGUGUUUGGCACCUCGAUGUCGGCUCAUCACAUCCUGGGGCUGAAGUAGGUCCCAAGGGUAU
rnacentral:rRNA from 1 species